UACGGAGGUGGCAAGCGUUGCUCGGAUUUACUGGGUGUAAAGGGCAAGUAGGCGGUCCUAUAAGCCCCGUUUGAAAUGCCCUGGCUCAACCAGGGCAAGUGACGGGGGACUGCAGGACUUGAGGAUGGGAGAGGCGAGCGGAAUUCCCGGUGUAAGGGUGAAAUCUGUAGAUAUCGGGAGGAACACCAGUGGCGAAGGCGGCUCGCUGGACCAUUUCUGACGCUGAGGUGCGAAAUCUAGGGGAGCGAACAGG
rnacentral:rRNA from 1 species